rnacentral:lncRNA from 1 species
AAUCCAGCACUGAACAAAAAGACAUCCGUCAUGGAGCUUGCAUUUUAGGGGCUCAGUCACCCUGGGAGAAGCCAGCCUGCAUGUUGUGAAGGCACCAAAGCUGACUGCACAGAGAUGACAGGAAGAGAAACUGAGGCUUCCCAUCAACAGCCAGCACCAACUUGCCAGCCAUAUAAGUGAGACAUAAUAAAAACAGAUCCAUCAGAUGGUUAGGCCUUCAAAAAACUGCAGCUUUGCCAACCUUGCAAAAAAACCCUGGAUCAGAACCACUCAGAUAAGCCACUCCCAAAUAUGCAGGUUACUAUUGUAGUUAUUCAUUGAUGCAUAACCAAUUUUUCCAAAAUGUAGUGGCUUAAAGAAAUAAACACUAUCCCCCCAGUGUCUGUGAAACAGGAAUU